rnacentral:rRNA from 1 species
CCUACGGGUGGCAGCAGUGGGGAAUAUUGCGCAAUGGGCGAAAGCCUGACGCAGCGACGCCGCGUGAGGGAUGAAGGUCUUCGGAUCGUAAACCUCUGUCAGCAGGGAAGAACGUUCACUGUUCUAAUCAGCAGUGAAUUCACGGUACCUGCAAAGGAAGCACCGGCUAACUCCGUGCCAGCAGCCGCGGUACUACGGAGGGUGCGAUGGUUAAUCGGAAUUACUGGGCGUAAAGCGCUCGUAGGCGGUAUGUAAGUCAAGGGUGAAAUCCCCGUGCUCAACGUGGGAACUGCCUUUGAAACUGGCUAACUUGAGUGUGUGAGAGGAUAGUGGAAUUCCAGGUGUAGGAGUGAAAUCCGUAGAUAUCUGGAGGAACAUCAGUGGCGAAGGCGACUAUCUGGCACAUAACUGACGCUGAGGAGCGAAAGCGUGGGUAGCAAACAGGAUUAGAUACCCCAGUAGUC